UACAGAGGUCUCGAGCGUUAGGCGGAAUCACUGGGCUUAAAGCGUGUGUAGGUGGCUCGUUAAGUACCUUGUGAAAUCCCCCGGCUUAACCUGGGAACUGCGUCUGAUACUGGAAGGCUUGAGUGCGGGAGAGGGAUGUGGAAUUCCAGGUGUAGCGGUGAAAUGCGUAGAUAUCUGGAGGAACACCGGUGGCGAAGGCGGCAUCCUGGACCGACACUGACGCUGAGGCGCGAAAGCUAGGGUAGCAAACGGG
rnacentral:rRNA from 1 species